rnacentral:rRNA from 1 species
UACGAAGGGGGCUAGCGUUGCUCGGAAUCACUGGGCGUAAAGGGUGCGUAGGCGGGUCUUUAAGUCAGGGGUGAAAUCCUGGAGCUCAACUCCAGAACUGCCUUUGAUACUGGUGUGGACUUCUGAGUUCCGGGAAGAGGUGAGUGGAACUGCGAGUGUAGAGGUGAAAUUCGUAGAUAUUCGCAAGAACACCAGUGGCGAAGGCGGCUCACUGGUCCGGUACUGACGCUGAGACGCGAAAGCGUGGGGAGCGAACAGG